rnacentral:tRNA from 1 species
GGGUAGGUGGCAGAGCGGUUGAAUGCAUCGGUCUUGAAAACCGACGAGGCUAAAAACCUCCGUGGGUUCGAAUCCCACCCUGCCCGCCA